GCUCCUGGCUCAGGAUGAACGCUGGCGGCGUGUCUAACACAUGCAAGUCGAACGGGGUACCCUGAAACGAGGCUUCGGCCAAGCGGAAGGACUACCUAGUGGCGGACGGGUGAGUAACGCGUGAGCAACCUGCCUUUCAGAGGGGGAGUAACGGCUGGAAACGGCCGCUAAUACCGCAUAACGCAUAGCUGGGGCAUCCCGGCAAUGCCAAAGAUUUAUCGCUGAAAGAUGGGCUCGCGUCUGAUUAG
rnacentral:rRNA from 1 species